rnacentral:rRNA from 1 species
AUACGUAGGGGGCGAGCGUUGUCCGGAAUGAUUGGGCGUAAAGGGCGCGUAGGCGGCCCGGUAAGUCUGGAGUGAAAGUCCUGCUUUUAAGGUGGGAAUUGCUUUGGAUACUGUCGGGCUUGAGUGCAGGAGAGGUAAGUGGAAUUCCCAGUGUAGCGGUGAAAUGCGUAGAGAUUGGGAGGAACACCAGUGGCGAAGGCGACUUACUGGACUGUAACUGACGCUGAGGCGCGAAAGUGUGGGGAGCAAACAGGAUUAGAUACCCUGGUAGUCCACACUGUAAACGAUGAAUGCUAGGUGUAGGGGGUAUCGACCCCUUCUGUGCCGCAGUCAACACAAUAAGCAUUCCGCCUGGGGAGUACGGCCGCAAGGUUGAAACUUAAAGGAAUUGACGGGG